GAGCUCUGGUAACCCUGAAAUGAUUCUGUCUCCGUAUAAGAACUGUUAUUGCUUCCACAUACAUUACAACUAGAAUAGUCACCUGCAAAAGUGUUCUCUUGU